UCUGCUCUCAGGCCAGAGCCACAUGUACCGAGUGAGAUCUCUCAGAGAGGUGGUGGGUACGAUAGGAUAAGCUGGGAGUGACCUGUCCCCAGCACACACCCUCGUUAGAACCCAGGGGAACAGAGGCUCUUAAAGGGCUAAUAUGAGGAGACAUUUUAUCAACGAGAGCUAUGCUGCAUAGAUCAUUUAGAAGCCAGCACAUCCAGGUGUUGCUGAAACAAAGCAGGACUGCAUAAGAUUCUCUUGAUGCUAAAAUACAGAUUCCCAGGGACCACUCCCAGAGAUUCUGAUUCUGUAGAUCUAAGAGCAAAGGGUGAAACUCGCUUUAUUGAAGGGACGUUGAAGCACAGAGAGAUGGAAAAGCUCAGAGACAUGGACAGCUCAUCUCUCCCGAACUCCUGUGCUUCAUGCUGCAUAACAUUGACUCCUGAGGAGCUGUCAUCUAUCAGAUUGAAUGGCGGACCCUGGAGGAGACUUAUAAACAGGCCAACCCCUUUUUCUUUACUAUUUUGUUCUGAGCUUUUGUUGCAUGUACGUGUCACGGGAGCAAUUUGCACAGGCCCUGCACUCUUGAGAAGGAAAACUCUCCUUCUUAAAGGAAUUUGGAAUCUUCAUCCUUUGUGUUUUUAUUAGAUCUGAUCAUCAUCCCCUCCCAGCGAAGUGAUAACAUCUAAUGAGCCAUGACUUCCUGGACUCAGAGGCUUGGAAUUCCGUUGUGAAUCACCACUCAUGAUGUUACUGUCUGGUUAUCGCAGUAUGAAGUGACAUGCAAAUAAGAAAAGUCCUUAUUUGUGAGACUUGAGCUUUGCAGCCCAGUUUUACAUUCUCCCUUCCCUUUCCCUUCAGAUUUUGCAAAGAAUAGGUCUGUGAUGACAGCCUCAGCUCUGCACACACCUCCCUGGGCUCCCACUUCUCAGCUGCAUAGACUUGUGACUUUCAGGGGUUAUUAAUAAUCACCUGAUCUGUCUUGGAAAAUUCUUGUAUAAAAUCACAAAAUCUUAUAGAAGAUACUGUACGACUCCAGUUUCUGUUUCAAUAUAGGGCUGUUCUCACAUUUCAUCUAUUGGCGUCUAAUUUCUGUAACAAGAGCCUUGGGGUCAUGGCACAACUUUGGACCUUAGAGAGAUCACGGUUUAGCAAGGAAUGAAGCUGUUCUUUCCUCUCUAUCCUCUACCGCCUCACAGACUUGAAGCCAGCACUUCAGAACACUACUGAAAAUCAGAAAGCGGUAAAACAAACAAACAAAAAGGGCUGGGAAACAGCCAAAAUAGAUUUCAUAAAAUCUGUGUGUUCUUUGAUCUUAGGGAAUCCUCUGGUAUGAACCCUCAGGCUGAUUAUUGUAUAAACAAACCCAAAAAGUUAAUUUCUAAACCCGUGGUGAAUUGGAAGAAAAAAGGGAGCUUGAAGGCCGAUACCCACAGUAUCGAUACAUAGCAGCCUUCAGAAAUGGCAAGGCUGAGAAGGCUAGAACUAGAUCCUCUGUGUUCAGAGGCAGGAA